UACGGAGGGAGGCUAGCGUUGUUCGGAAUUAUUGGGCGUAAAGAGCUCGUAGGCGGUUUGUCGCGUCUGCUGUGAAAACUCGGGGCUUAACCCCGGGCCUGCAGUGGGUACGGGCAGACUAGAGUGCGGUAGGGGAGACUGGAAUUCCUGGUGUAGCGGUGAAAUGCGCAGAUAUCAGGAGGAACACCGGUGGCGAAGGCGGGUCUCUGGGCCGUAACUGACGCUGAGGAGCGAAAGCGUGGGGAGCGAACAGG
rnacentral:rRNA from 1 species